AGUUUGGGGGAAAAUGAGGUCUUUAACUGGAGGGCAACAGAGUGAAUCCGGAGGCUAAGAGUAGCUGAGGUCCUUGCCUAUGUAUUGGGAGGGUGAUAGAGAAGAGACGGGGGUCUCCUGCCUCCCUUGGAACUGUGUUAUGCUUCUACUCAAGACACUGUUGUGUAGGAACUGCUGAUAGCAUCGGGUCUGUGGAGGAGCCUGGGGCCUCAUUCCUAUGGGUCCCGUGGUCUGGAUCUGCCUUCCGGCCAGCACCUGCUCCUCCCCACAGGUGCGCAGGGUGGUGGGAAGCUUUGAGUGAGAUGUGCUGGUGGCCUCUGUCCUCUCACCUUUCCUUGAGUCACCGGCCCUGCGGCGCCUGCUGUUCACAGCAUCGUCCUCUUGGGCCAUGCUAGAACCUCCUCUCCUCCCACAUUGGUGUGUUGGUGUUUUGCCCCUCAGAAGGCCACCUGGUCUGUCAGGCGUCAUUCUCAAGGACGGCAGAGGGGCUUAAUCACCACCAGGUAGGAUGGAAACUCCAAAAGGGCAGAGACAGCUCAUUUUGUUCCUGCUAAAACCCCAGCAGCUGGGCAGCCCUUGACACCUCAUUAAUAUUUGUAAACUAAACGAAGAACUGGUUAUUUGGCAGAUCUGGGCUCACAGUAGAAAUAUUCUCCGUUUUCUAUUUUUAGGACCAUAAAAAUGCCAAGAAAUCUUCAAACUUUUUUUUUUUUAGAGAAUUCCUUUUCUUUAAUUAAAAAAAAAAAAGGUUUAUUUUU
rnacentral:lncRNA from 1 species